rnacentral:lncRNA from 1 species
GUACUGAUCGCCCACAGUUCAUCCAGAGGGGUCACUGUUAAAUGUGUGACGUUUCCAGGAAUCUUCUUCCAGUAAUCACCUGCUGGAUUCUUGUCAGUAAUACCGUAUCGACGAGCUACAUCUCCAUUUGGACAGCGUGCCCAAACGGUCCUUGUACUUAUAGCCAGCUCACAUGCCUGCAAACCUGGUACAUGCUCCCAGUCGGUGCCUACAGGCAUUUCCUCUGUA